rnacentral:misc_RNA from 1 species
GGCUGAAUUUUGAUUCACUGUUAAAUAAUAUUCUCAAUGUUGAUUGUAUUUUUAAACGAAUCUGCAAAUCUACUAUCACAUUUCACAGAACCACACAUUUAGCCCUAUACACGAUUAUACCAACAGAAAGAGAGAAUGUUGAAACCAAGAAGUCUUGGGCAUGUGACUUGGAUUCUGGGAAUGCAGCGCAACUGAGGCUAAGAGCCGAUGGCCCAUGAGUUGAGGUUGACUGAGAAGGCAUGGAGGGGUUUCAUCGAUUACGUAUGAGUUGAGCAUGUUAGACGCGUACAAAUAGCAAUGCUAUGUAAUAUGAGAUACUUGUUUAUCCCGAAUAAGUUGCCAACCACUGAAUUUGAGAGUUUUUAUCGCAUAACACUGACAUUCCUGUCUUAGCACACCCUUAAAACCAUUUUGACAACCACACGCCUAAAAACCUCUUGCAAUUGACAUAUAACCAACUGCCCAAAGACAAAGUCCCAAGAUUGGAAAAUGAACUCUUUCUACAACGUGAUUGCGGAUACGUUCAUGAUCAAGAAAACCUUCCAGAAGAAAAGAUAAUGCUUGUAUAAUCAUCAUCCUAAGACAAGAAACACAAUCCAUACACACACAAGGCAUCUGUUGGACUGCACGUUACCAGAAUAAAAACCAUAAGACAUCAUCCUACCAAUUUUUCAAAUACUGUUACUCCCUACCAUCAUUCGAGGACUUUUUGGUAACAAUGUUAUUGAAAGACCUGGCAUAUGUGCAACGGCUGGUGGAGGAAGAGGAGUAGAACUUGUUCCUGGUGGAGUGGGUUUGCUAUCCCAGGAGCACUUAAUUGGGUUGCCACAUAGAAUACGAGCA